rnacentral:rRNA from 1 species
AGAGUUUGAUCCUGGCUCAGGAUGAACGCUGGCGGCGUGCCUAAUACAUGCAAGUCGAGCAAACAGAUAAGGAGCUUGCUCCUUUGACGUUAGCGGCGGACGGGUGAGUAACACGUGGGUAACCUACCUAUAAGACUGGAAUAACUCCGGGAAACCGGGGCUAAUGCCGGAUAACAUGUUGAACCGCAUGGUUCUACAGUGAAAGACGGUCUUGCUGUCACUUAUAGAUGGACCCGCGCCGUAUUAGCUAGUUGGUGGGGUAACGGCCUACCAAGGCGACGAUACGUAGCCGACCUGAGAGGGUGAUCGGCCACACUGGAACUGAGACACGGUCCAGACUCCUACGGGAGGCAGCAGUAGGGAAUCUUCCGCAAUGGGCGAAAGCCUGACGGAGCAACGCCGCGUGAGUGAUGAAGGUCUUCGGAUCGCAAAGCUCUGUUGUUAGGGAAGAACAAAUGUGUAAGUAACUGUGCACAUCUUGACGGUACCUAACCAGAAAGCCACGGCUAACUACGUGCCAGCAGCCGCGGUAAUACGUAGGUGGCAAGCGUUAUCCGGAAUUAUUGGGCGUAAAGCGCGCGUAGGCGGUUUUUUAAGUCUGAUGUGAAAGCCCACGGCUCAACCGUGGAGGGUCAUUGGAAACUGGAAAACUUGAGUGCAGAAGAGGAAAGUGGAAUUCCAUGUGUAGCGGUGAAAUGCGCAGAGAUAUGGAGGAACACCAGUGGCGAAGGCGGCUUUCUGGUCUGCAACUGACGCUGAUGUGCGAAAGCGUGGGGAUCAAACAGGAUUAGAUACCCUAGUAGUCC